AACGAACGCUGGCGGCAGGCUUAACACAUGCAAGUCGAACGCCCCGCAAGGGGAGUGGCAGACGGGUGAGUAACGCGUGGGAACGUGCCCUUCGCUUCGGAAUAGCCCCGGGAAACUGGGAGUAAUACCGAAUACGCCGUAUUGGGAAAGAUUUAUCGGCGAAGGAUCGGCCCGCGUUAGAUUAGCUAGUUGGCGGUGUAAUGGACCACCAAGGCUACGAUCUAUAGCUGGUCUGAGAGGAUGAUCAGCCACACUGGGACUGAGACACGGCCCAGACUCCUACGGGAGGCAGCAGUGGGGAAUCUUGGACAAUGGGCGCAAGCCUGAUCCAGCCAUGCCGCGUGAGUGAAGAAGGCCUUAGGGUUGUAAAACUCUUUCGCCGGAGAAGAUAAUGACGGUAUCCGGAGAAGAAGCCCCGGCUAACUUCGUGCCAGCCGCCGCCGUAA
rnacentral:rRNA from 1 species